rnacentral:rRNA from 1 species
AUGCAAGUGCAGGCGGCCGCUACCAUACGGCUUUGUCUUGUGGAUCAGGUCAUGUAUCAUGUCAUGGACGAAGAUACUCCUAGGGGAAUUUGGGACAAGUUGGCAAAUCGUUAUAUGUCCAAGUCAGCGACCAAUAAGCUGUAUUUGAAGCAAAAGUUCUAUGGGCUGAAGAUGCAGGAGGGGUCAGAUCUUUUGGAUCAUGUGAAUGCCUUUAAUCAAUUGGUCACGGAUCUAGCACGUCUGGAUGUGAAGAUUGAGGACGAGGAUAAGGCACUACUUCUUCUUGUUUCGUUGUCACCGUCCUAUGAGCAUUUGGUCAUUACAUUGACACAUGGAAAUACAAGACAACCGUCAAUAAUGAGGAAGUCACUACAGCGUUGCUUGGACAUGAGUUGA